AGCCAACUCUAGCCCAACCCCCUACAACUAGGUGUACAUAAAAAAUCUACUAAAUAUUUAAACUAAAACAUUCUUCUAACUCAGUAUAGGUGAUAGAAAGGUCAUUAGGCGCUAUAGAGACUCGUACCGUAAGGGAAAGAUGAAAUAACAAUGAACAAGCCAAGCAACAAGCAGCAAAGAUAAGCCCUUGUACCUCUUGCAUCAUGAUCUAGCCAGAACAACCAAGCAAAGCGAACUUAAGCUUGCCACCCCGAAACCUAAGCGAGCUACUUGUGAGCAGCUACCCAUGAGCGAACCCGUCUCUGUUGCAAAAGAGUGGGAUGACUUGCUAGUAGAGGUGAAAAGCCAAUCGAGCUAGGUGAUAGCUGGUUACCUGUAAAACGAAUCUAAGUUCAACCUUGACACCUCCUCCAGGAACCCUCAGCCACCCCAAUGAAGGUGUCAAGAGCAAUUUAAAGGGGGUACAGCUCCUUUAAAACAAGGAUUCAACCUCCCCUAGCGGAUAACUAAACCUUAUGAAUAACAAUUGUGGGCCUUUAAGCAGCCACCAACAAAGAGUGCGUCAAAGCUCCAUUUCCAUAAAAAUCCUAAAUCCACAUGACUCCCUUCCCACUAACAGGUCAGCCUAUAUUUAUAGGAGAAUUAAUGCUAAAAUGAGUAACUAGGGUAAGACCCCUCUCAAGCGCAAACUUACAUCUACACAUUAUUAACAGACAGCUAAUACUUCUACUAGUACAAGACUACGUAUUUCACUCUCUGUUACCCCGACCCAGGAACGCCUACUAGAAAGAUUAAAAUCUGUAAAAGGAACUAGGCAAAUCUCAAGGCCCGACUGUUUACCAAAAACAUAGCCUUCAGCCGAACCAAGUAUUGAAGGUGAUGCCUGCCCAGUGACUCUAUGUUCAAUGGCCGCGGUAUCCUAACCGUGCGAAGGUAGCGCAAUCAAUUGUCCCAUAAAUUGAGACUUGUAUGAAUGGCUAAACGAGGUCUUAACUGUCUCUUACAGAUAAUCAGUGAAAUUGGUCUUCCUGUGCAAAAGCGGGAAUGAAUACAUAAGACGAGAAGACCCUGUGGAACUUAAAAAUCAUCAGCCACCUCGUAACAAAACUUAACCCACUAGGCUCACCGCUAACAAGAUGCUGGCUCGCAUUUUUCGGUUGGGGCGACCUUGGAGAAAAACAAACCCUCUGAAACCAAGACCACCACCUCUUACAAAGAGCACACAGCCAAAGUACUAACAGUGACCAGAUCCAAUAAAAAUUGAUCAAUGGACCAAGCUACCCCAGGGAUAACAGCGCAAUCUCUCCUAAGAGCCCCUAUCGACGGAGAGGCUUACGACCUCGAUGUUGGAUCAGGACAUCCUAAUGGUGCAGCCGCUAUUAAGGGUUCGUUUGUUCAACGAUUAACAGUCCUACGUGAUCUGAGUUCAGACCGGAGCAAUGGGGGUGGUUUUCAAUCUAUGCAUAUUUUUCCUAGUACGAAAGGACCGGAAAAGUAAGGCCAAUACCACAAGCAUGCCUUCUCCUUAAACAGUGACUCCAACUAAACCGUACAAAAGGAAUUCCCACUCCCCACACCCAAGAGAAGGGUC
rnacentral:rRNA from 1 species